UCCUGGCUCAGGACGAACGCUGGCGGCGUGCCUAAUACAUGCAAGUCGAGCGAGCCGAACCAAUUGAUUACCUUCGGGUAUGAAGUUAGGGAAGCGAGCGGCGGAUGGGUGAGUAACACGUGGGUAACCUACCCUAUAGUCUGGGAUACCACUUGGAAACAGGUGCUAAUACCGGAUAAAAGGAGAGAUCACAUGAUUUCUUUUUGAAAGGCGGCGUAAGCUGUCGCUAAAGGAUGGACCCGCGGUGCAUUAGCUAGUUGGUAAGGUAACGGCUUACCAAGGCAACGAUGCAUAGCCGAGUUGAGAGACUGAUCGGCCACAUUGGGACUGAGACACGGCCCAAACUCCUACGGGAGGCAGCAGUAGGGAAUCUUCCACAAUGGACGCAAGUCUGAUGGAGCAACGCCGCGUGAGUGAAGAAGGUUUUCGGAUCGUAAAGCUCUGUUGUUGGUGAAGAAAGAUAGUGAGAGUAACUGCUCAUUAUUUGCCAGUAAUCAACCAGAAAGUCACGGCUAACUACGUGCCAGCAGCCGCGGUAAUACGUAGGUGGCAAGCGUUGUCCGGAUUUAUUGGGCGUAAAGCGAGCGCAGGCGGAAAGAUAAGUCAGAUGUGAAAGCCCUCGGCUUAACCGAGGAAUAGCAUCGGAAAACUGUCUUUCUUGAGUGCAGAAGAGGAGAGUGGAACUCCAUGUGUAGCGGUGGAAUGCGUAGAUAUAUGGAAGAACACCAGUGGCGAAGGCGGCUCUCUGGUCUGUAACUGACGCUGAGGCUUCGAAAGCAUGGGUAGCGAACAAGGAUUAGAUACCCUGGGUGUCCAUGGCUGUAAACGAUGAGUGCUAAGUGUUGGGAGGUUUCCCGCCUCUCCAUGCUUGCAGCUAACGCAUUAAGCACUCCGCCUGGG
rnacentral:rRNA from 1 species